rnacentral:tRNA from 1 species
AUCUCUUUAGUAUUAAACAAUACCAAUGACUUCCAAUCAUUUUAUCUUGGUUAUACCCCAAGAAGAGAUA